CCCGCGUGCACCCCGCUGCCGCACGGUUGCUCGCGCGGCCGAGGCGCAAGAGGCUGCUGGUCCGCGCGGGCGCCCGGUGGAGGUAGAACUAUUAAUAUUUCAGCUCAUCUGCAGAGGGUGACUCAUCUGCUUUCCUUUCUGAAAUAUUUGUUCGCCAUUGGCUAAGAAGAAAAAACAAAAUCAGCUGCUCACUGCAAAAGGUGGGACUUUGUCCUCUUUGAUCUAGGCUGAAAAAGGGACAGAAAGGACUGGAGCCCUUAGAUGCAUGCAGUUCUGUACACGAAAAAGGAGGAAAACAUCAGCCGGAAUGUGAAUGUGGUCCCCCGAACAAGCCAGACCCUCUCUCCUCCCCACGCCUGCCCACAGCUUCAGGGACCAGACGGUGCGUCCCCAUGACGGAGCUCCACCAGUGCCGACCUGCACCUCAGCCGAGGCGCCGUGAACACCUACUGACCUGCUGCUCGCCUCCGGACCGUGUCUGGACUCGGCCUCACCCAGCACGCACCUGCCAUCUUUCCUCUCCCUGAUUGUGAGUAGGGCUUGCUGCCGUGCGCGCUGUCCACGUGCUAAAGAAAAGGACCAGCUGUUCAGAUCUUACAGGGAGUGUAUUUUUGGUCUUCAAGCUGUUUUUAGGAAUAUGUUUGGUUCAAGUCAAGGAACGUUUCCAUGAGUUUUCUUUGGUUUUGUUUUUGUUUUUGUUUUAAUUUGUAAGUAAUCUCUACACCUGGUGUGGGGCUUGAACUUAGCACCCCAAGAUCAAAGUUACACAGUCCACCCACCGACUGAGUCAGCCAAGCAUCCCAGUUCUCAUGGUUUUGAAUAAAACAAAUCUGCAUUGUUCCCAUCAUGAAACCCAGAUUCUUACAAAGUGAGGGAAUUAUUUGGGGUAAAAAAAGGUUAGGAAACUCUACUUAAUGAAAAACCAAACAUAUACUGUAAAGCUGUUCCAAACGAGGUUAGAAAACUGUAUCUCCGUUGAUCAGAGGUGUCUAUACAUGAACAAAUACUGUGAGUGGCCAGUCUCUAAGCCACAGAGCUGAUAACCUUUUUUUUCUUUAUCAAUACCACGUAACUUGCAACCCAAGCGCAUUCACGUUAUUAAAAUAGGAGCGCCCAGCCCAUGACUGAGGCUUUGUUAUUAAUAUUUUCGCAAAGAGGGGCUCUAACAUACUUAGCAAGCAGCCAAAGGUAAUAGAGUAAGAGGCUGAGCUCUCUUUUUGUUAAUAUUUUGUUAAUAUUAACGAUGUAAGGAACCCAGUACCCAAACAGCUUACAGUGAACUCUACUAAAAAGCAGAACUUAAACCCAAACAACUAUAUGAUCUGAAUAAAUAGGCCUAAACAUUUACAAUGAA